AAAAAGAUAAGCUAAAACAAAAGCUAUUAGGUUCAUACCCUAAAGAUAGAAUAAAAUAAUUCUUCUUUUUA
rnacentral:tRNA from 1 species